GGGUGAGUAACACGUGGAUAACCUACCUAUAAGACUGGGAUAACUUCGGGAAACCGGAGCUAAUACCGGAUAAUAUAUUGAACCGCAUGGUUCAAUAGUGAAAGACGGUUUUGCUGUCACUUAUAGAUGGAUCCGCGCCGCAUUAGCUAGUUGGUAAGGUAACAGCUUACCAAGGCGACGAUACGUAGCCGACCUGAGAGGGUGAUCGGCCACACUGGAACUGAGACACGGUCCAG
rnacentral:rRNA from 1 species